UGGGGAAUAUUGGACAAUGGGCGAAAGCCUGAUCCAGCCAUGCCGCGUGUGUGAAGAAGGUCUUCGGAUUGUAAAGCACUUUAAGUUGGGAGGAAGGGCAUUAACCUAAUACGUUAGUGUUUUGACGUUACCGACAGAAUAAGCACCGGCUAACUCUGUGCCAGCAGCCGCGGUAAUACAGAGGGUGCAAGCGUUAAUCGGAAUUCCUGGGCGUAAAGCGCGCGUAGGUGGUUUGUUAAGUUGGAUGUGAAAUCCCCGGGCUCAACCUGGGAACUGCAUUCAAAACUGACUGACUAGAGUAUGGUAGAGGGUGGUGGAAUUUCCUGUGUAGCGGUGAAAUGCGUAGAUAUAGGAAGGAACACCAGUGGCGAAGGCGACCACCUGGACUAAUACUGACACUGAGGUGCGAAAGCGUGGGGAGCAAACA
rnacentral:rRNA from 1 species